rnacentral:lncRNA from 1 species
UGGAGUACAGGUGGGGCCAAAGGCAUGCAAAUAUAACAUUGGGAAACCUUGGGUACGUAGAAGUUAUUUUGUGGGGUAUGCUUUGUAAUUGUAGGAAUAAAUGCUGCAUAUCUUUUGUAUUUUGUUUAUUCUCUAUAUCAAGGUCAUGUCUUAUUGUUAGGAGAAGAAAAGAACCAAAGGCCAAAAGGAAAAUCAACAAACCUCACCACAUCAAGGACUUCGGAUAAUUGUCUUUGAAGAAGAAGGAUGAGCAGACAAAAGAUUAGUGAUCAUCAAGAUUAGCUGUGUGUCGUAUUUACUUUUUUGUUAGGAAUUAUUUCAUUAGUUCCCUAUAUUUGAAUUCCACUGAGGCAAGUAGCGUCAAAUUCCGUUAGAAAUUUGUUAGAGCAUUGUUUAUAUUAGAAUGAAU